AUUGAACGCUGGCGGCAGGCCUAACACAUGCAAGUCGAGCGGAUGAAGGGAGCUUGCUCCUGGAUUCAGCGGCGGACGGGUGAGUAAUGCCUAGGAAUCUGCCUGGUAGUAGGGGAUAACGUCCGGAAACGGGCGCUAAUACCGCAUACGUCCUGAGGUAGAAAGUGGGGGAUCUUCGGACCUCACGCUAUCAGAUGAGCCUAGGUCGGAUUAGCUAGUUGGUGGGGUAAAGGCCUACCAAGGCGACGAUCCGUAACUGGUCUGAGAGGAUGAUCAGUCACACUGGAACUGAGACACGGUCCAGACUCCUACGGGAGGCAGCAGUGGGGAAUAUUGGACAAUGGGCGAAAGCCUGAUCCAGCCAUGCCGCGUGUGUGAAGAAGGUCUUCGGAUUGUAAAGCACUUUAAGUUGGGAGGAAGGGCAGUAAGUUAAUACCUUGCUGUUUUGACGUUACCAACAGAAUAAGCACCGGCUAACUUCGUG
rnacentral:rRNA from 1 species